rnacentral:rRNA from 1 species
AAUAGAUACCCUGGUAGUCCACGCCGUAAACGAUGAGUGCUAAGUGUUAGAGGGUUUCCGCCCUUUAGUGCUGCAGCUAACGCAUUAAGCACUCCGCCUGGGGAGUACGGCCGCAAGGCUGAAACUCAAAGGAAUUGACGGGGGCCCGCACAAGCGGUGGAGCAUGUGGUUUAAUUCGAAGCAACGCGAAGAACCUUACCAGGUCUUGACAUCCUCUGCCAACCCUAGAGAUAGGGUGUUCCCCUUCGGGGGACAGAGUGACAGGUGGUGCAUGGUUGUCGUCAGCUCGUGUCGUGAGAUGUUGGGUUAAGUCCCGCAACGAGCGCAACCCUUGAUCUUAGUUGCCAGCAUUUAGUUGGGCACUCUAAGGUGACUGCCGGUGACAAACCGGAGGAAGGUGGGGAUGACGUCAAAUCAUCAUGCCCCUUAUGACCUGGGCUACACACGUGCUACAAUGGAUGGUACAAAGAGCUGCGAACCCGCGAGGGUAAGCCAAUCUCAUAAAGCCAUUCUCAGUUCGGA